GCCUCCGUGGCCCAGUGGUUGAGCGUUGGGCUCAAGAUCCGAAGAUCCUGGGUUCGAUUCCCGGUGGAGGGACA